rnacentral:rRNA from 1 species
UACGGAGGGUGCAAGCGUUGCUCGGAAUUAUUGGGCGUAAAGGGUAGGUAGGUGGUCUUAUUUGUCUGGGGUGAAAGCCUUGAGCUUAACUCAAGAAGUGCCCCAGAAACGGUAAGACUAGAGUCCUGGAGAGGGUCGUGGAACUUCCCGGUGUAGCGGUGAAAUGCGUAGAGAUCGGGAGGAACACCAGAGGCGAAGGCGGCAUCCUGGACCAAUACUGACACUGAAAAGCGAAAGCCAGGGGAGCAAACGGG